GACGAACGCUGGCGGCGUGCCUAAUACAUGCAAGUUGAGCGCUGAAGGUUGGUACUUGUACCAACUGGAUGAGCAGCGAACGGGUGAGUAACGCGUGGGGAAUCUGCCUUUGAGCGGGGGACAACAUUUGGAAACGAAUGCUAAUACCGCAUAAAAACUUUAAACACAAGUUUUAAGUUUGAAAGAUGCAAUUGCAUCACUCAAAGAUGAUCCCGCGUUGUAUUAGCUAGUUGGUGAGGUAAAGGCUCACCAAGGCGAUGAUACAUAGCCGACCUGAGAGGGUGGUCGGCCAGAUUGGGACUGAGACACGGCCCAAACUCCUACGGGAGGCAGCAGUAGGGAAUCUUCGGCAAUGGGCGAAAGUCUGACCGAGCAACGCCGCGUGAGUGAAGAAGGUUUUCGGAUCGUAAAACUCUGUUGGUAGAGAAGAACGUUGGUGAGAGUGGAAAGCUCAUCAAGUGACGGUAACUACCCAGAAAGGGACGGCUAACUACGUG
rnacentral:rRNA from 1 species